rnacentral:rRNA from 1 species
GACGAACGCUGGCGGCGUGCUUAACACAUGCAAGUCGAACGGAAAGGCCUCUUUCGGGGGGUACUCGAGUGGCGAACGGGUGAGUAACACGUGAGUAACCUGCCCUUGUCUUUGGGAUAACUUCAGGAAACUGGGGCUAAUACCGGAUAGGAGCUCCUGCUGCAUGGUGGGGGUUGGACAGUUUCGGCGGUUGGGGAUGGACUCGCGGCUUAUCAGCUUGUUGGUGGGGUAGUGGCUUACCAAGGCUUUGGCGGGUAGCCGGCCUGAGAGGGUGACCGGCCACAUUGGGACUGAGAUACGGCCCAGACGCCUACGGGAGGCAGCAGUGGGGAAUAUUGCACAAUGGGUGGAGGCCUGAUGCAGCAACGCCGUGUGCGGGAUGACGGCCUUCGGGUUGUAAACCGCUUUCGCUCAUGACGAAGCUUUGUGUGACGGUAGUGGGUAAAGAAGCACCGGCUAACUACGUG